GGGCUGGAAUUGAACAUGGGCAACGGAAGCCCUGGAAAGUAAAAGCAAAGGCAAGCGUGAAGUGCCGGGAGACAGAAGCUGGAGCUUCUCUGCACAGUUCUGAACUGAGACAGUUCCAGGUCCAGGAAGCAGCCUGAUGGACACAUUCUUGCCCACAAGGCAUCUAGAUGCUUGUGUUAGGCUUAUGUGUCUGAGGCUGCUCAGCACCUGGGAACUCAGCUCUGGAUUCUGAACCUUGACAUCCUCUCCUCCCAGCUACAUUGUUCCUAGACCUCACCCUGGACCACUCAGCUCAGUGAGCAAGAGCAUCCCACAGGCUGCCACUCCCAUCCAUGCCUUUGAUCCAUCUGACGGAACAGCUACUGGUGCCUGUGGCUCUUUUGCUCUAUGUUGCCAGAGCCAACUAACCAGUGCUAGGCUGCAGGAAGCCAAAAAUAGCCACACUGGACAGUCAUGGGUAGAGCGUUAAACACCCUAGUGGCCCAUUUGCAAAAAAAGAGAAAAUGGGUGAAAUUGAUCAGAAAGAUGCGUUCUGUGCAACCUAAUAUAUUAAAAAUGCCACACUGACACAUGAUAGUGUUAAGAGCUUUUCCAUCAAGGCAUUUCAAAAUGUACUUAGGUUUGGAUAUGCAUGUGUGUGUUCAUGUACGUGCAUGUGCACAUGUUUAUGUAGGCAAGAGGUCAGCCUUGAGUGUUUUUCUUCAGAAUUAUAUCUAUCUUGGUUUUUGAGACUCUUUGAUUCAUCCAGGCUGGCUGGUCAGAGAUCCCCUGG
rnacentral:lncRNA from 1 species